AACGAACGCUGGCGGCAUGCCUAACACAUGCAAGUCGAACGAGACCUUCGGGUCUAGUGGCGCACGGGUGCGUACCGCGUGGGAACCUGCCCUUAGGUUCGGAAUCACUCCCCGAAAGGGGUGCUAAUACCGGCUAAUUUCUUCGGACCAAAGAUUUAUCGACUUUGGAUGGGCCCGCGUUGGCUUAGCUAGUUGGUAGGGUAAAAGCCUACCAAGGCGACGAUCCAUAGCUGGUCUGAGAGGAUGAGCAGCCACACUGGGACUGAGACACGGCGCAGACUCCUACGGGAGGCAGCAGUGGGGAAUAUUGGACAAUGGGCGAAAGCCUGAUCCAGCAAUGCCGCGUGAGUGAUGAAGGCCUUAGGGUUGUAAAGCUCUUUUACCCGGGAUGAUAAUGACAGUACCGGGAGAAUAAGCACCGGCUAACUCCGUG
rnacentral:rRNA from 1 species